UGGACUUAGCAGUAUUCAUAACCAAUACACCUUUUUUUUCCUCCAAAAAUCUAGCUCAGCCUAAUCCCUAUAAAGCCUCCAUUCUGUAGUCGACGAAAUCAAAUUGUUCCAAGUCUCCACAUGUGACAGCCACACCAUAAAAAUUUGUUGAUUUCCUUCAGAAACCUAUAAAGAGCUCCCUUUUUUUCUGGUGUACGUGCUACAAGAAUAGUGGAUGAAGUUGAUGUCAUUGAAUUCGCUCAACAGAUGCUGGGCUUAAAAGAAAACAAGUAUGAAGGAGAUAAAAGCAGAGGAAUGAAACAUGUAGAGAAUAUUCAGAAGAUUAAUCUCCCUAAUUAUCCAGAAAUUAUCUUAUUUAACAUCCUAGUGAAGAUUCCGCCAAGAGACAUUCAUAAGAACGUCAUGCCCAUCUGUAAACAAUGGAAAGAAAUUGUCUCCGGAGGUUAUUUCAUUGAGCAGAAUUUCACGGAGUUGAAGUUAGAAUUAGUGAUACAGUCAGGAUUAGGAAGGCAUAAGAAAACAAAGUUGAUAAAGAUUGGAAUUAGAACUUGAAUGUGAAUCUCUUGAACUUGGACUAAGUAAAUUACGCAAGAUUCAUUCUAGCUGUGGUGGAUUUCUAUUGAUGAGUGAACCAGGAGACUGUGGGAAGCUACAACUGAUAAAUCCAUCAACAAAGUUCUGCCUCACUAUCCCUAGAUGCCCUUCACUUUGCCCACAUAAAGCUUGUAGUGCAGCACUUGCAUUUGAUUCUUGGACAAAACAGUAUAAAGUAGUCCAUGUUGUUACAGAUUCUUAUGGUUUCGAAAUAUUUAAUUUGUGUGGUGGUGAUGAUGAACAUUGGGAACGAAUUCCUGGUCCGUGGGAAGAUCUAAAUGAUCGGCCAUUUGACCCACUCAAAUUUUUCUGGAAGGAUCCAGUGUCGAUAAAUAGAAGGCUUCUGCAUUGGCAUGUUGAUUCAACUAAAUAUUUCAUUUCAAUGCAAGUAGAAGAGGAAAAAUUCAGUAGAAUCUCUCUUCCAGAAGGUGCUAAAGUGAUUAGUAAAACGAAUGGUUAUGCGUUGAUAGACUUGGGUGGAUUCUUUUCUUUUAUCAACUGCAAUUUAGAGAUAAAAAUGGAUGUUUGGAUUUUGGAAGAUUUUCGAGGGCGAGUCGAAAAUAAUUCUGAAUAAGAAAUGGAAUGAUCACUCGCCGAUGAUCAUUUAUGCCAUAUUAUAAGACUUCAUUGUUCAUGAAAUGCACAACAUUUUCCAUUUGAACUUGGUCCAAGAAACAUAGUAUUGUGGCAGAGUUGACAAAUUAUAUCUGUCCACACAAAUCAGCAAGACAGUGUGACAAAAAAUUGCCAAAACUGGGAAAACUAGUUGCUGUAGCUGGAGCGAGGAACGGUGAAGUAUUGAUUCUAAAGCAUAAGACGAACUCUAGCUUAUAUCUAUACGACACGAAGAGUAGAGUGAUGAAGACUUUCAGCAGUAACAUGAAGAAAUUAGAAUCUUUUGUACCUCAAAAGGACAGCCUCUUUUGUAUGAAGAGGAUUUCUGUGUCGUGAUUUAAUUUGGUGUUUAGCUUAGGUUAGAGAUGUGCCUAAAAGGAGUCAUUCUGUCUUGCUUGGGAUUAAGGCGUAAUCUUUACUGGUGUUUUAAGUUAUCCAUUUGGUACCUUGUCUAGAUAAAAUAGUGAGUUUUUCUUGUCUGCA